GUGGGGAAUAUUGCACAAUGGGGGAAACCCUGAUGCAGCAACGCCGCGUGAGUGAUGACGGCCUUCGGGUUGUAAAGCUCUGUCUUCAGGGACGAUGAUGACGGUACCUGAGGAGGAAGCCACGGCUAACUACGUGCCAGCAGCCGCGGUAAUACGUAGGUGGCAAGCGUUGUCCGGAUUUACUGGGCGUAAAGGGAGCGUAGGCGGACUUUUAAGUGAGAUGUGAAAUACCCGGGCUUAACCUGGGUGCUGCAUUUCAAACUGGAAGUCUAGAGUGCAGGAGAGGAGAAUGGAAUUCCUAGUGUAGCGGUGAAAUGCGUAGAGAUUAGGAAGAACACCAGUGGCGAAGGCGAUUCUCUGGACUGUAACUGACGCUGAGGCUCGAAAGCGUGGGGAGCAAACAGGAUUAGAAACCCGAGUAGUCC
rnacentral:rRNA from 1 species